CGUAGGGUGCAAGCGUUAAUCGGAAUUACUGGGCGUGAAGCGUGCGCAGGCGGCUAUGCAAGACAGAUGUGAAAUCCCCGGGCUCAACCUGGGAACUGCAUUUGUGACUGCAUGGCUAGAGUACGGUAGAGGGGGAUGGAAUUCCGCGUGUAGCAGUGAAAUGCGUAGAUAUGCGGAGGAACACCGAUGGCGAAGGCAAUCCCCUGGACCUGUACUGACGCUCAUGCACGAAAGCGUGGGGAGCAAACAGGAUUAGAUACCCUGGUAGUCCGCGCCCUAAACGAUGUCAACUGGUUGUUGGACGGCUUGCUGUUCAGUAACGAAGCUAACGCGUGAAGUUGACCGCCUGGGGAGUACGGCCGCAAGGUUG
rnacentral:rRNA from 1 species